rnacentral:lncRNA from 1 species
GCCAAUCACCAGUUUAUCUUUAGCCUCCAAAGUCGCUAACAGCAUAAACAACUCGGCCCCAUCUGCUACUUCCUCAUUCACCUGCCUUGCUGAUAAAAACAAACUCUUUUCUUCCUCAACUUCAGGAAAUACCACUGUCUUAUCAAAACAAUUGAUAGAAACUCGGUUAAACACCAACCAAUUCAUACCCAAGAUAACAUCAAUCUGCACUAACGGGAGACACACAAGGUCUAUCCCAAAUUCUCUACCAAAAAUACUCAAGGGACAACUUAAACAAACAGAAGUAGUAGUCACUG